GGUCGGUUCGGCCGGAUUUCACACAGGUGUUGCAUGGCUGUCGUCAGCUCGUGUCGUGAGAUGUUGGGUUAAGUCCCGCAACGAGCGUAACCCUCAUUCUUAGUUGCCAUCAGGUAAUGCUGGGGACUUUAAGGAAACUGCCAGUGAUAAACUGGAGGAAGGUGGGGAUGAUGUCAAGUCAUCAUGGCCCUUAUGGAGUGGGCUACACACGUGCUACAAUGGUGGCUACAAUGGGCUGCAAAGUCGCGAGGCCAAGCUAAUCCCUUAAAAGCCAUCUCAGUUCGGAUUGUACUCUGCAACUCGAGUGCAUGAAGUUGGAAUCGCUAGUAAUCGUGGAUCAGCACGCCACGGUGAAUACGUUCUCGGGUCUUGUACACACUGCCCGUCACGCCAUGG
rnacentral:rRNA from 1 species